rnacentral:lncRNA from 1 species
AUGUAUGCAUCUGGCAAUAAUACUUCUGCUGCUGCAGGAGAUGGUAUUCUCCAUUUUCCUGCUCUUUGGAUCUACUUAGCUUUCUCAUGCCUUCUAUCUUCUUCUCUUUUUCAUAAUUGCAAAGUCAUGUGAUGUGCAAAUGCCAUGAGUUUUUAUUUGCACAGUGCUUUAAUACGUGAGUCAUCUUAUGCAGUGGGUUUAGCUUUGUGUUUAUUUGUAGUGCACAUCGCCACGCCACAUAAUUUACAAUCUUGUUUUUAGUUUUUUUGUAAUUUAUCACUUGGUUAGCUGCCUUGAAAUAUCUUGAAUACUAGUUAUGAUAUCACUUAGUUCACCACAAUCCGAGAUGUGGAUUUUGCAGGGAAGGAGGACGAUGAUGGAAGCAGUAGUUAAAUCGAACGAUUUUCAUCAACAAUCUUCGUUUUGAUAUCAACAAUCCAGUAAGGAUGUUGCAUUUUAUUUUAUGGUCCAUUAUUUAGAUAUAAUGAAGGUCUGUGUGAGCUUAUUGUCUCUGCAGGCACCCAGAUUUAUGUUUGGUGCAUAAAAGAGGGCGAACUUAGGGCUCAUUGUGCAUGUGUUUGUGCGUGUGUUUUAGCGAGAGAGAGAG